ACUCCUACGGGAGGCAGCAGUAGGGAAUCUUCCACAAUGGACGAAAGUCUGAUGGAGCAACGCCGCGUGAGUGAAGAAGGGUUUCGGCUCGUAAAACUCUGUUGUUAAAGAAGAACAUAUCUGAGAGUAACUGUUCAGGUAUUGACGGUAUUUAACCAGAAAGCCACGGCUAACUACGUGCCAGCAGCCGCGGUAAUACGUAGGUGGCAAGCGUUGUCCGGAUUUAUUGGGGCGUAAAGCGAGCGCAGGCGGUUUUUAAGUCUGAUGUGAAAGCCUUCGGCUCAACCGAAGAAGUGCAUCGGAAACUGGGAAACUUGAGUGCAGAAGAGGACAGUGGAACUCCAUGUGUAGCGGUGAAAUGCGUAGAUAUAUGGAAGAACACCAGUGGCGAAGGCGGCUGUCUGGUCUGUAACUGACGCUGAGGCUCGAAAGUAUGGGUAGCAAACAGGAUUAGAUACCCUUGUAGGAUAGCG
rnacentral:rRNA from 1 species